rnacentral:rRNA from 1 species
ACGCUCGACACCUACGGGAGGCAGCAGUGGGGAAUAUUGCACAAUGGGGGAAACCCUGAUGCAGCGACGCCGCGUGGAGGAAGAAGGUCUUCGGAUUGUAAACUCCUGUUGUUGGGGAAAAAGAGGAUGGUACCCAACAAGGAAGUGACGGCUAACUACGUGCCAGUAGCCGCCGGUAAGUACUGAGCGGGCGUGGCGAAGGACG